UCACCCCUCUCCACUAUAUAUAGAGUCCAUCCGGGUUCUACAGGAUGCUGUUUGGCGACUCGUCGCCAUUCCCGGAGCAGCUCGGCCUCGGCCCAGGGGCGAGUAUCCGUCGCUGUGUCGGAGACGCCUGUCCCCGACACCAAGACAGCCAGCCCUCUCCCCUGCCUCGCGGCGGGAGAGCGUGUCCGGCCGGCCGGCGGGGCUCGCGCACCCUCCCUCGCCUCCCCUUCCCCCGCAGCCUCCGCCCCGCCAGGCCCGGCCCGGACUCCCGAGCCCCGGCCUCCUCCUCGUCCUCGGUCGCCGCUGCCGCCGGGCUUAACAGCCCCGUCCGCCGCUUCUCUUCCUAGUUUGAGAAGCCAAGGAAGGAAACAGGGAAAAAUGUCGCCAUGAAGGCCGAGAACCGCUGCCGCCGCCGACCCCCGCCGGCCCUGAACGCCAUGAGCCUGGGUCCCCGCCGCUCCCGCUCCGCUCCGACCGCUGUCGCCUCCGAGGCCCCCGUUGAUGCCGCUGAGCUCCCCCAACGCCGCCGCCACCGCCUCCGACAUGGACAAGAACAGCGGCUCCAACAGCUCCUCCGCCUCUUCGGGCAGCAGCAAAGGGCAACAGCAGCCCCGCUCCGCCUCGGCGGGGCCAGCCGGCGAGUCUAAACCCAAGAGCGAUGGAAAGAACUCAAGUGGAUCCAAGCGUUGUAAUCGCAAACGUGAACUUUCCUACCCCAAAAAUGAAAGUUUUAGCAACCAGUCCCGUCGCUCCAGUUCACAGAAAAGCAAGACUUUUAACAAGAUGCCUCCUCAAAGGGGCGGCGGCAGCAGCAAACUCUUUAGCUCUUCUUUUAAUGGUGGAAGACGAGAUGAGGUAGCAGAGGCUCAACGGGCAGAGUUUAGCCCUGCCCAGUUCUCUGGUCCUAAGAAGAUCAACCUGAACCACUUGUUGAAUUUCACUUUUGAACCCCGUGGCCAGACGGGUCACUUUGAAGGCAGUGGACAUGGUAGCUGGGGAAAAAGGAACAAGUGGGGACAUAAGCCUUUUAACAAAGAACUCUUUUUACAGGCCAACUGCCAAUUUGUGGUGUGUGAAGACCAAGACUACACAGCUCAUUUUGCUGAUCCUGAUACAUUAGUUAACUGGGACUUUGUGGAACAAGUGCGCAUUUGUAGCCAUGAAGUGCCAUCUUGCCCCAUAUGCCUCUAUCCACCUACUGCAGCCAAGAUAACUCGUUGUGGACACAUCUUCUGCUGGGCAUGCAUCCUGCACUAUCUUUCACUGAGUGAGAAGAUGUGGAGUAAAUGUCCCAUCUGUUACAGUUCUGUGCAUAAGAAGGAUCUCAAGAGUGUUGUUGCCACAGAGUCACGUCAGUAUGUUGUUGGUGAUACCAUUACGAUGCAGCUGAUGAAGAGGGAGAAAGGGGUGUUGGUGGCUUUGCCCAAAUCCAAAUGGAUGAAUGUAGACCAUCCCAUUCAUCUAGGAGAUGAACAACACAGCCAGUACUCCAAGUUGCUGCUGGCCUCUAAGGAGCAGGUGCUGCACCGGGUAGUUCUGGAGGAGAAAGUAGCACUAGAGCAGCAGCUGGCAGAGGAGAAGCACACUCCCGAGUCCUGCUUUAUUGAGGCAGCUAUCCAGGAGCUCAAGACUCGGGAAGAGGCUCUGUCGGGAUUGGCUGGAAGCAGAGGGGAGGUCACUGGUGUUGUGGCUGCUUUGGAACAACUGGUGCUGAUGGCUCCCUUGGCGAAGGAGUCUGUUUUUCAUCCCAGGAAGAGUUUGCUGCAACAGGGUGUGCUGGAGUAUCUGUCUGCCUUCGAUGAAGAAACUACGGAAGUUUGUUCUCUGGACACUCCUUCUAGACCUCUUGCUCUCCCUCUGGUAGAGGAGGAGGAAGCAGUGUCUGAACCAGAGCCUGAGGGGUUGCCAGAGGCCUGUGAUGACUUGGAGUUAGCAGAUGACAAUCUUAAAGAGGGAACCAUUUGCACUGAGUCCAGCCAGCAGGAACCCAUCACCAAGCCAGGCUUCACACGCCUCAGCAGCUCUCCUUGUUACUACUUUUACCAAGCGGAAGAUGGGCAGCACAUGUUCCUGCACCCGGUGAAUGUGCGCUGCCUCGUGCGGGAGUACGGCAGCCUGGAGAGGAGCCCUGAGAAGAUCUCAGCAACUGUGGUGGAGAUUGCUGGCUACUCCAUGUCUGAGGAUGUUCGACAGCGUCAUAGAUAUCUCUCUCACUUGCCACUCACCUGUGAGUUCAGCAUCUGUGAACUGGCUUUGCAGCCUCCUGUGGUCUCUAAGGAAACCCUAGAGAUGUUCUCAGAUGACAUUGAGAAGAGGAAACGUCAGCGCCAAAAGAAGGCUCGGGAGGAACGCCGCCGAGAGCGCAGGAUUGAAAUAGAGGAGAACAAGAAACAGGGCAAGUAUCCAGAAGUCCACAUUCCCCUCGAGAAUCUACAGCAGUUUCCUGCCUUCAAUUCUUAUACCUGCUCCUCCGAUCCUGCUUUGGGUCCCACCAGCACCGAGGGCCACGGAGCCCUCUCCCUUUCUCCUCUCAGCAGAAGUCCAGGUUCUCAUGCAGAUGCUGAGGGUUGGAAAAGCAAAAGCAGAUGUGUGGCCCAAAACUGCUCCAAAGAAAGAUGAGAACAGCUUAGUUCCUCCUGCCCCUGUGGAGAGCGAUGGGGAGAGUGAUAAUUCAGACCGUGUUCCUGUGCCCAGUUUUCAAAAUUCCUUCAGCCAAGCUAUUGAAGCAGCCUUCAUGAAACUGGACACACCAGCUACUUCAGAUCCCCUCUCUGAAGAGAAAGGAGGAAAGAAAAGAAAAAAACAGAAACAGAAGCUCCUGUUCAGCACCUCAGUCGUCCACACCAAGUGACACUACUGGCCCAGGCUACCUUCUCCAUCUGGUUUUUGUUUUUUGUUUUUUUCCCCCAUGCUUUUGUUUGGCUGCUAUAAUUUUUAAGUAUUUGAGUUUGAACAGAUUAGCUCUGGGGGGAGGGUGUUUCCACAAUGUGAGGGGGAACCAAGAAAAUUUUAAAUACAGUGUAUUUUCCAGCUUCCUGUCUUUACACCAAAAUAAAGUAUUGACACAAGAGAUCUCUUCCUGCCAAGGUUUUUUAGUUCAUUGCCAGUUUAGUCUUUUUGACCCAUGUGUAAUUAAUUUUUCUCAACCCAAAAUAAGAUUGAGUCCCUUCGAGAUGCAUUAGAGCAGUCCAACCCAGAAUGGCGCACACACUGCUCUGCUGUAGCAUCAUGUCAGGUCUUCCUGGGCUCAGCACACCUCUGUCUUUUAAAAAACAGCUGAAUCUUUACUACCUAUUUAGUUCUCCUUGUUAAAGAAAUGGGUGGGAAUAAAAUGGAUUUAGGACACGCAGUUUGAAUUGCAGUUUAUUUUUCUUCUGACACAUGGCCAGGCUGUGGUGCCAGCUUAAUGGAGUAGGCUGUCCCUGGCACUUGCAUGUGUGAAAGGAGGGUUUUGCCUCUUCUUGAGCAUGGCUUGCGUUGGUAAGGAAAGCUGUAACUCACGAAGCCCUGAGACUUUCUCUACCCCUAAGAUCAAGCUUGUUUUAGGUGACUGGCUUGAGUCAUAGGAACAGGAAUCUGGUACAGAUGCAGGAGAGCAGGGCCAUCUAAAGCAGUAGCAUUGCCACCAUCUCCCUCUAAUCUAGAGCAGUCUUCUUAUGCCUUGGUUUGAGCUGAAUUUGAUGUAAAUUCUUUUUCUGCUUAAUAAAGUGACCUCUAGGUGUGUUAGAA